rnacentral:rRNA from 1 species
CACGCCGUAAACGAUGGAUACUAGGUGUAGGAGGUAUCGACCCCUUCUGUGCCGGAGUUAACACAAUAAGUAUCCCACCUGGGGAGUACGGCCGCAAGGUUGAAACUCAAAGGAAUUGACGGGGGCCCGCACAAGCAGUGGAGCAUGUGGUUUAAUUCGAAGCAACGCGAAGAACCUUACCAGGGCUUGACAUCCCUCUGACCGCUCUAGAGAUAGAGCUUCUCUUCGGAGCAGAGGUGACAGGUGG